rnacentral:lncRNA from 1 species
AUGCGCAGUCCCCCUUGAACGCACCUCAGGCAUUGAAAAGGGGUCGGAAGUGAAUGGAGUAAACACCUGACAGCAGCGAGCUGGGAUUGAGAACAAAAGAGCACACACAGGACAAUAGAAAAAUCUGAAAAACAAGUGGUUCUCCUCUUCUGGACUUUGAGGUUAUAAGGAGGCUGACUAAAAACUUGGGUUUACAUUAAUGUCUUCAGAUGGCCCGUACUUUGGAACCACUAGCAAAGAAGAUCUUUAAAGGAGUUUUGGUAGCCGAACUUGUAGGCGUUUUUGGAGCAUAUUUUUUGUUUAGCAAGAUGCACACAAGCCAAGAUUUCAGGCAAACAAUGAGCAAGAAAUAUCCCUUCAUCUUGGAAGUUUAUUACAAAUCCACUGAGAAGUCUGGAAUGUAUGGAAUCAGAGAGCUAGAUCAAAAAACAUGGUUGAACAGCAAAAAUUAGAUCCAGUCAUCACGUUCAGCCUCCCAUCUAAGCUGUUUGAGACCUUUGAGAGAAGAAGAAAAGAUGAGUGUACUACCACACUGUAGACUCUUGGUGGUCCCACAGAACAUGCUGCUGAGUCACAGGAACUUCUAGCCUGCCUUGGCCUGUGGUUUCCCACCCACUAUACAAACCCACUGCUUGUUUGUUGCUUUUCUUCUCAUAUUUAUUGUCAAAGAUAAAUGUUUCAAAAAGAAAUGACUAAGGAAGGAAAAGAAACAAAUGCUCUAAAGAUUUUCUCUCCCCAAGCACUUUUACUGGUGAAAUAAAAACCAGUAACAAUCAAUAUGUAAAAACGGCCCACUUCCCUAAAAAAAAGUAAUUUUUGUAGUCUGCAAGGUUUUUUUUUUUUUUGCUUUAGUCUAAAUACUUGUUAAUCUUACAUGUUCUCCUGAGAGAAGAAAAAGCCAUUCCUUUCAGGUUGUAAAGUACCAUGAAAAGGUCUUUCAAAAAUAUUCCUAUCAGCCAGGCAUGGUGGCUCACACCAGUAAUCUCAGCACUUUGGGAGGCCGAGGCAGGCGGGUCACUUGAGGUCAGGAGUUCGAGACCAGCCUGGCCAACAUGGUGAAACCCUGUUUCUACUAAAAAUACAAAAAUUAGCUGGGCGUGGUGGUGCAUGCCUGUAAUCCCAGCUACUUGGGAGGCUAAGGUAGGAGAAUUACUUGAACAUGGGAGAUGGAGGUUGCAGUGAGCCAAGAUCAUGCCACUGCAUUCCAACCUGGGCAAGGGAGUGAGACGCUGUCUCAAAAAAAAAAAAAAAAAAAAAAAAAAAAAAAAAAAAAAAAAAAAAAAAGAAUAAAUAAAAUAACGAAAAUUUCCUAUCUUCUGAAGUUCCAAGCCAAAGCUAUUUUUAAAACAUCAAUAAAAAAAUUUAAGUUACUUACUUGCAUUAUCUUUGUUAGCCAUGGCAUUCAUGCCAAUGUUAUCAAACUUGGAUCCCAUAUUUUCAUCCAAUAGAUGGCCAAACUUUUAAACAAAAACGAUAAAUUUAUUAGAAAACUAAAAAUAAUGUAGAAUAGCUAGCUUGUUAAAACAGUACAUUAGCCUUACCUCUUCAGCAGAUACAAAUAGGCUGGAAUCAUUUAAGUUUCUUUUCUUUUUUCUUGGCCCUAAAAAAAAUUGUAAGUCUACAUUAUUCAAUUAUAAAUCUAAUGAUUUUAGAAAAAUGCAAUGCAACAUGAUUUUAUUUUAAAAAUUAUACUUGGGUAAAAACAAUUGCAAUAAUCUUCUGGCACCAUUGGGUAGCUGGCAUUUAAAUAUAAUUUAAGAGUUAGUAUAUAAUAUUUUCAAAAAGCUAACAACAUCCUAAUAGAACUGUUCAGAUGACAAGAGUGUCUUCUUGCUUUUCAGAUUUGGCCACUGAUCGAAGUUUUACCCAUAAGGGAAAUAACAUAGUAUCAAGCAAUAGUAAAAUUAUCAGUUUGACAUGGAUGGGUUUUGAAAUACUUAAGACACAACAUAAAAUUUAGUUCAGGGGUCUUUAGAUUGUAAAGAAAUUGACUGAAAGUAUGUUUAUUAUGCUAUAAAUGAAGUUGUUUAUAACAGCGAAAAAGGUUCUCCUUUAAAAAAAAAACUUAUCUGUAGUACUGAAUAUAUAAACUUUUCCUGAAACAAUUAUUCAAACUCUGCAUCUUUGAUAUCAAUGUCUCUAGCAGUAGUAGAGCCAUAUUUUAAAAAGAGCUUUACUAAAUACAGAUCAUAACAUUCAGCUGUUUUAAGUGUAUUAACGCAUUUUGGUAAAUUUACAGACUUGUUCAACCACAACCACAGUCUGAUUUUAGAACAUUUCCAUCAACUUCAAAGAUCCCUGGUGCCAUUUGUAGUCCUCCAACCCAUCUCCGAUCUAUCUUGUUUCUAUGACUUGCCUUUUCUGGCUAUUUCAUAUAAAUGGGAUCAUAUGACAUGUGGUUUCCUAUAUCUGACUUUUUUCAUUUAGCAUAACGUUUUUGAGGCUCAUCCAUGUUGUAGUACUCCAUGCCAUGUUGUGGGCUACAUAAUAUUCCAUUGUAUGGAUAUACCACAUUUUGCUUAUCAGUUAAUGGACAUUUAGGUUUUGUCUACUUUUUGGCAUUAAUAGUGCUGCUGUGAACAAUCAUGUACAAGUCUUUGUAUCAGAGCCACUUUUGAUAAAAUAGUUUCUAAAACAUUUCAUCUUGAUUUUUAUUAAGGUGAUAUGUAUGUUACUUAACAGCUGUAUAAUACACAUUUGCAUGCAUUAGGAAGUUUUUUUUGGGUUUUAUUCAUCCUGUAGUGAUGUAUCUGUGACCUCAACGAGUAGGCACUUCUGUACUGUACUGGUUUCUUAAAGUUUCUUUUAUCCCGCCCCCACCCCCAACCUCAGCCUCAAGUAUGUAACACCAUGCCUGGCUAAUUUUUGAUUUUUUUUUUUUUUUUUUUGAGACAGAGUCUCGCUUUGUCGCCAGGCUGGAGUACAGGGGCGUGAUCUCGGCUCACUGCAACCUCUGCCUUCUGGGUUCAAGCGAUUCUCCUGCCUCAGCCUCCCAAGUAGCUGGGCCUACAAGUGCAUGCCACCACGCCAAGCUAAUUUUUGUAUUUUUAGUAGAGAUGGGGUUUCAUCAUGUUGGCCAGGAUGGUCUUGAUCUCUUGACCUUGUGAUCUACCUGCCUUGGCCUCCCAAAGUGCUGGGAUUACAGGCGUGAGCCACUGCGCCCAGCCAUUUUUGAUUUUUUGUAGAGAUGGGGUCUCAUUGUGUUGCCCAGGCUGAUUAAAGUUUCUAUAAGGUAUGUUUAUUCUUAAGGAUAUCUACUCUAACACCUGUAAAUGUAGGGUGAUCAAUUAGUAAAUUAAUAAAUCUGAAUCAAUUAAUAAAUCUGUUUAAAAUUC